AGCAUCGUGAAGAACGAGUUACCAAUAGUAAAUGGAAGGAGUCUCAGACCCAAAGCGACAGGCCCGAAGCUUUGAAAGAAAAAGUUGAUCUAAACGGUCAGAACAGAUUUCAUGAAGACAACAAACAUAACCGUGAUGACCAACCACUGCCGAAAAAUAAACCCAAUCAUGAACCAGUUUUGCAAUCGUCUAACAAAUAUUCUGGACUUGAAGAUGGAGGAUGUGAAUAAAAUAUAUGUAUGUUUCUCAUAAAUGAAUAAUAAUAAAAAAGCAGAAACAAUUCAUCAUUAUUGUAUUCGUUUA